rnacentral:rRNA from 1 species
UACGUAGGGUGCAAGCGUUGUCCGGAAUUAUUGGGCGUAAAGAGCUUGUAGGCGGUUUGUCGCGUCUGCUGUGAAAUUUCGGGGCUCAACCCCAAGCCUGCACUGGAUACUGUCGAGCUAGAGUCCGGGAGGGGAGAGCGGAAUUCCUAGUGUAGCGGUGAAAUGCGCAGAUAUUAGGAAGAACACCGGUGGCGAAGGCGGCUCUCUGGAACGGUACUGACGCUGAGACGCGAAAGCGUGGGGAGCGAACAGG